AUUGAUAGUUGGUUUGAUGG
rnacentral:siRNA from 1 species